GACUCUCGGCAACGGAUAUCUCGGCUCUCGCAUCGAUGAAGAACGUAGCAAAAUGCGAUACUUGGUGUGAAUUGCAGAAUCCCGUGAACCAUCGAGUCUUUGAACGCAAGUUGCGCCCGAGGCCAUCCGGUCGAGGGCACGCCUGCCUGGGCGUCACGCAUCG
rnacentral:rRNA from 1 species